UUGCCAAUUGCCAACCCAUUCGAAAUUCUGGACGUGGCCGCCACUCAACGUUUACCUUCUUCGUUCUCCUUAUUUACAUUCUCAGAUUCUUCACUUCAUUCUGCAACUUCCGAGCUAUGGCUAUGGCGUCCCAAGAAUGGCCGCGAAACGUCAAUCUCAUCUUCAAGAAAUUCUUGCAUCUUCUCACUGUCACUCUCCUCAGCCUCUCGCUUCCACUUUCAUUUCUUCUCUUUUGCAGGCUCGCUCGUUCUCAGUAUCUACAGGCUUUUCUUUCUCCGUCAACGCCUCUUACUUCUUCUUUCGUUGCAUAUGCUGACCGAGUUCUACUUUUGGUUCUUAUUUCUCUCAUCGCCAUAGCUGCUUUUCUCGAUAACUUGCUUGGUAAAUCGAUUCUUCCGGCGAGACCGUCUGGCCUGAGCGCGGCUUGGAUCGGUCUAUGUGCGUUACAGGUCGGUAUGGCGUUGGGAAUGGACGAGGGAUUGGCGAUUGCUAUCGACGCCUCGAGCAUAGGAUUUCGGAGAAAUUUGUGGUGCCGGUUGAUGUUUUUCUUAGGGUUGCAUACGGCGAUGAUUCAUUGGUCGAAGGCGGCGGUGAAGCCGGUGGUGGACGAUACCGUUUUCGGAACGCCUGUGGAGGAGAGUUGGAGUGAAAGAAUCGCCAUGGCGGUGAGCUUUGGGGGAUUAUGGUGGUGGAGGUUGAGAGAUGAAGCUGAAUCUCCGGCGAUUGCUGCGGAAAGCAAGAUGGAGCUUCUUAUCGACCUAACUAUGGUGGAUUUCGCCGGUUGGGCUCUCUAUUACCUCAUUAUCGCAAUCGGAUUCGUUAAAACUUCGAGAAUCUUUGUUUGGUUUCUGAAAUUUAUCCUUCGCGAGAGGAAGGAGGAAAGUUCUUCCCAAUUCUCCCAAUCCAAACGGAUUGAAGUCGUCUGAGAUUAAGCCUCUUCUGUAACUAUUGAUUUCUCCUAUUUGAGUUAUUUCAUUUUUAUGGGCAGGAGGUUUCUACCCCCUCUAAUGGCAGCCAGGAGAAGCAGGGGACUGAACUCAGAUGCAAAGAAGACGAUUCUCUUUAGAAUGGAAGUGUUUGGAGAUUUCAACCUCUAUGAACAGAACAUUUCCAAGAUUGGAGAUCAAGCAAACUGUCAACAAUCCUCCUUAGAUUGUUUAAUUCUCGAUCAAUUGCUGUUCGGUAAUGACUUAUCAUAAUAUUUCUUACAAGGGUGGAAAUCUCCCCUAACAGAACAUUUUAAAAAU